ACGAACGCUGGCGGCGUGCUUAACACAUGCAAGUCGAACGCUGAAGCUUGGUGCUUGCACUGGGUGGAUGAGUGGCGAACGGGUGAGUAAUACGUGAGUAACCUGCCCUUGACUCUGGGAUAAGCCUGGGAAACUGGGUCUAAUACUGGAUACGACAUGUCACCGCAUGGUGGUGUGUGGAAAGGGUUUUACUGGUUUUGGAUGGGCUCACGGCCUAUCAGCUUGUUGGUGGGGUAAUGGCUCACCAAGGCGACGACGGGUAGCCGGCCUGAGAGGGUGACCGGCCACACUGGGACUGAGACACGGACCAGACUCCUACGGGAGGCAGCAGUGGGGAAUAUUGCACAAUGGGCGGAAGCCUGAUGCAGCGACGCCGCGUGAGGGAUGACGGCCUUCGGGUUGUAAACCUCUUUCAGCACGGAAGAAGCGAAAGUGACGGUACGUGCAGAAGAAGCGCCGGCUAACUACGUG
rnacentral:rRNA from 1 species